UAAGUUUUCUAGCUAUGACCCACUACAUAUACUUUUCUUAUUAACAUUUAUAUUAUUGUGUGUGUCUAUUUUGCAUGUCAUUAUUUAGGGUUAUAUCAUCAUUGCUUCCACAUCUAAAUAUAUGCGCAUCUUAAUUAUCAACAUUUGGGCAGCUGUCUCAUAAUUAAGAUUAAGAUAGUGGUAUUUCAUUUCAUUUCAUUGUUCCCACUUCCCACCAAUAAAAAAGGAAUCAAUUUUGUACAAAAAAAGAAGAAUCAAUUGUCGACAUAAUAAGGAAGAGUUACUUUUAAGAGGAAAUUCCGGAGAUUAAUAGUCUAAUUCAUGGAAAACGAAUGAAAUAAUUUAGAUACGGUAGGUGUGCAUGUGUUUAAAGCAGCGUAAGAAAGACUUCACUAACAGGUCAAAGAAGUUGGAAAAAUAUCUUUGAAAAUAUGUUUUUGAUAUGGAAAUCUAUGACUUCGUCGUGUGUCCAGCUCAAGUAGCCGUUUAAUGUGCAGAAUCGGAGGAAUUAUAAAAAAUUAAGGUCUUGCAUGUCUUAAAACACAUGUUAAAUUAAACUUCAAUACUUUCUUUGUAAGGGAAAAACUUUAAAUGUGGUAGUUUGACUAGUUAGAUUAUUCACAUAACUUAUUUUAAUCAUACUAUUUUAUUAAUUUAUAAAGACAAAUAUUAGCAUGCAAGAUCUUCAAUUUGUAUCAAUUAAUAUUUUUAUAAUAUUAACUUUUUAUAAUUUCUUAUAAUAAAUACUAAUUAAAUAUAUUAAUUGUUAAACUUAUACAUCGAUAUGUGUGAGUUGAUCAACAACAACUCUGAAUAAAGAAUGGAGAGAGUAUCAUAUAAGUGAACAUGCUAAAAAAUUUCUAAAAAAAAAGCAUCUGUCUAAAAAUUAUAACUAAAUUUACCAAAGAAAAACUCAAGUUUUUUUCUUUUUGAACAAGAGCAAAACGAAAGUUAUUUAAUUAGCACUUUUUUUUACUGGAAUUAAGUAAUACUUGUUUACCUUUUUUUCUCUCCUUAGUAUAUUGUACUUUGUAUAGUUUAAUGGUGGUGGGUUGACAAUCCAAAACAACUUUGCACAUACAAACAAUCAAAACACUCAUAAUUGUCACAUUAGUUGUUUUGGUUAAAAAUCAUUAAUUGAUGUGACAAUUCUAAUUGUUUUGAUUGAUUGUGUGUACAAAGUUAUUUUAAACCAUCAAUCUACCACCAUUAAACUCUAUAACAGUGAUGGAUAUUUAAAAAAAAAACUUAUACAUAUACAUUCAAAUACAUGAAGAGGUACCACCAAAAAAUAAUACUACAAAGCUGAAAAAACACUGGUCAAUUAACCUUUAGUUUGUUUUCACAUAGAUCUUAUGUGAUAAUGAUGAAUGGAAAUUUGAAUCAUAGUGAGUUGUCAAACGUGCGACAAAAAAUAGUAGAUCCAAACCACUUUAAAAAGACGAAGGACCACGUUAUGGAGUACUAGUACUAAAAUAAGGAAAAGAAAACAAAGUUAACUGAGAUACAUAGUGAUUGGUCGGAGUGGGCAUGUGAAACACUGGUUUCGUGAUAACUAGGUGCCAAAUUUAUGUCUAUAGAGGGAAUCACAUCUCCCCAUUUUAUCAUACAUGCAUGCACUUUCAUUCAAAUCAACAACUUUAUUACAUAAGUGUGUACAAAAUUCAAAUUUGAAUUAAAUAUUGUCCUAUUGGUUGGACUCAAAUGAUUCAUCAACUUCCCCUAAGGUUAUAUAUUAUUGUGCAAUUAGUUUCAUCAUGAAUUGCACCAUAGAUUAAUUCAUUAUUUCAUGAAAUAACAUUGCCCCAUAAUUUCUGUUUGUUUCAGAAUCACAAACUUAUUGUAGUGGAAGCAGAUGGAAACUAUGUGCACCCAUUCGCAGUCGAUGACAUCGACAUCUACUCAGGUGAAACCUACUCAGUCCUCCUUACAACAGACCAAGACCCUAAAAAAAACUACUGGCUUUCAAUCGGAGUUAGAGGUAGAAAACCAAGCACACCACAAGCCCUAACAAUCCUUAACUACAAACCACUCUCUGCCUCAGUUUUCCCAACAUCACCACCACCAGUCACACCAUUAUGGAACGAUACCGAUCACAGCAAAGCAUUCACAAAACAAAUCAUUUCCAAAAUGGGAAAUCCACAGCCACCAAAAUCCUCACACCGCACUAUUCACCUCCUCAAUACACAAAACAAAAUCGGUAGUUUCACUAAAUGGGCUAUUAACAAUGUUUCAUUAACAUUGCCAACAACACCUUACUUAGGAUCAAUUAAAUUUAACCUAAAAAAUACAUUUGAUAAAAAUCCACCACCAGAGAGAUUUCCAAUGGAUUAUGACAUAUUUAAAAAUCCAGUGAAUCCAAACACAACUACCGGCAAUGGUGUUUACACGUUCCAGUUGAAUGAGGUUGUUGAUGUGAUACUACAAAAUGCAAACCAGUUAAAUGGGAAUGGUAGUGAAAUUCAUCCAUGGCAUUUGCAUGGACAUGAUUUUUGGGUUUUGGGAUAUGGUGAAGGGAGAUUUAGACCAGGAGUUGAUGAGAGAAGUUUCAAUUUGACACGUGCACCUUUGAGGAACACUGCAGUUAUAUUUCCAUAUGGUUGGACUGCACUAAGGUUUAAGGCAGAUAAUCCUGGUGUUUGGGCAUUUCAUUGUCACAUUGAACCACAUUUGCAUAUGGGAAUGGGUGUUAUUUUUGCUGAGGCUGUUCAUAAAGUUAGGAACAUACCUAAAGAAGCUCUUAAAUGUGGUGCUACAGCCUAGAUGUUCCUAAUGACAUUCAAAAUUGAGUCUAGUUAAUUAUUUAUGCCAACCAUUAAUUUCAUAUGAGUGUUUUUUCUUCUCUUUCUAAGAUUUCAUCACUUCAUGGAAUGUUUUGUUGUGUUAAUGUUAUGCUAUGCAUGUUUCUCAUGUAUAAUUAGGUCAUUUAUCCAACUCCCUGCUGCGUGAAUAAUAUGUAGGGGGUUUUAUUUUUGUGGCAAAUUUGUGUAACAUAUUAAUUUAUAAGAAAUAUCUAUAGUGAUGAACGAUUAAUCAACGAAUAAAGGUGAUAAAUUUGCAUGAUAUGUUAAUGGCUCUCUUUCAUUGCAUUUGUUGUCUAAUAAUUAAACUGUUCCCAUUUCAGUAAAAAGAGAGAAGAACUAUGUAAAUGUUUGGUUAUGCAAUUUGAUUUUGAAUGAUUAGAUCCAGUAAAGUUUCCUUUUGAUAAAUAGAUCAAGUAAAGUUAUUUGUGACAAAUAUGGAGUUGAAUGUAAAGUUUCCUUUAUCUAGUUACUUUGAAGAUAAAAUAAAGGGGGAUCUUCAGAAUUCCGUGUAAAUCUCUCUCACUUCACAAAUAAACACGACAGACUAAAACUCUAAUAAACACUUUGGCAAUUGCGGCUUCAUUAGUCUUCUUAGCUUUAGAGUCUUCCUUUAUAUAGCCUUAGAAUAGCAUGAGCUUGAUGAGCAACUUGGGCUAACCGUCUUUAUCACAAUAUUCCAAAAGUAAAUAUAUUGUUUCCUUAAAUGUUACAACAUCACACUUAAGAAAUACGCAAGGCACAACCGCAUUCUGCAACUUCUAGAAAACACAUACGCUUAUUGGUCAACACACUGCGUGAAUCAUAUUUUCAGAGAAUCUUCAGUGAUCUCACGCUUAAAACCAAAUCUUUCAAGAAUGUGAAACAAUGUACACUACGAUGUCGUACCAACAUGUCAAGACAUCUUGUCCAACAUCUUGCUAAAACACUUGUUUUAACAAAAUGCAGCCAAUCACAAUCUAAACACCUAUCAGAAACUAAGUUAUCUAAAGUCCCUUGAGAGCAUUUUACUACUCCAACUAAAAAUACGCUUCCAAACUUGAUCAUUAACGUAGUUAAAAAUCAAUUUUUAAUUUUUGGCUAUCAUAGUUGAGAGAUACUUUUUUCUUUCAUUCUUUUUUUCCCUGAUCUGUCCCAUAAAGAAUUAUUUUGAGGAAGAUUUAUAGUCUCACAUUCAUGACAGAUUGAUGAAGAAAUUGCCUCCUUUCCGAAGUACUCGUCAGAAUCCAUGGAAGUACCCCUUUGCCGGUGAGAUGGAAGGAGGUAGCACCCACACAUACGCUCUGACGCCCAAGUAAGGUGGAAAACAUGAGGUUGAGAGAUUUUACGAAUAGAAUGAACUUACUUAGAAUUGUAGUAGAAUCCCCUAUAUAUAGACAUGAGGGAGAAUGCUGGGUUUUGAGUUUUAUUAGACCUUACCAUGUAGUUGGGCAUCUGCUAAGUGGAUAAGACCUUUAGCCGGUCCGAAACAGUUUCAAUGCACUCUGUAACCUUUAGAAUAUCAGAGAUUGUAUCCUUCGAGCUAUGAGGGAUAUUUCUACUAAAGAAAAUCUUAGAUUUUUGCAUGUUAUUCAUUUGUCCAAAAGUAUUACCAUAUGUAUAUAAGAUUCCAUUCAGGCUUAAAGCAGUGGCCAAUUUAUGUUUCCCUUAAGUUCAAUCAGGCUUAAACUAUACACCCUCCGAUCAUUGUUAUAAGUAAAAAUCUAUAUUUUAAGUUUAUACAAUUAAUGUUGUUUAUGGUUUUUUUAUAAUAGACCACAUACAUAAUUCAAUGAAUGAAUCUAAAAUGUUGAUUUUUACUUAUAAUAAUGACCGGAUGAUGUACGAAAUAAGAUUUAGAACGACCUCAAAAUACAUGUUUUUAUGUAGUUACUCUUAGCUUAAAUUCAGGGUUAAAUAAGUUUUUGGUCCUUAUAUAUAUCUAAAAUUUUAUUUUUAGUUCCUCUACAAAUUUUCAACAUGUUUUGGUCCCUUAAAUAAUUUUUUACGACUUUCGAUUCCUACUUUUCAGUACGCUCAUGUAUAUCCUUCAAAAUUUUGAAUUUAUUUUAGCAAAUAUGUUUAGUACAUUAUAUAAAUCUAUCUUGCAAAAGUUUGAUUUUAUUUUUUUAACAAUUGAUGAAUUAAAUAUGAAUUUUUUAAGUAUUUGGCGCUUAAAAAUUUAUAUUUAGUUAAGAAAUUCAAAGUGCGGAAGAGAAAGUUAUAAUUUUCUAAACAUAUGUAAAAACUCUUGAGUUGAAUUAAAAAAAAAAAAAGACCAAAACUCAUGAUAAAAAACAUAUUUGAUGACCAAAACUAACUGAAUUUUUUAUAAGGACUAAAAAUGAAUUUUGAUAUAUUUGUAAACAUCAAAAAACUUAACUAACCCUUCAAACUAUCGUUAAAAUGAAAUAUUUAUUUUCCUAGUUAAACUUAAAAUCAAACAUGUACCCAAAAAAUAAUUAAAAUCGAUCAAGACAUAUACUACUCACACUCCAAAAAACCCAAGUUACACCCCAUAAUGACUAAUAUAUCCUUUAACUAAAUUUACACUAACAUCUUAUAUAUGUAAACUGAGUUUACAUUAACUACGUAAAUUGAGUUUACACUAACUUCUUAUAUACAUAUGCAAACUGAGUUUACACUAAUCUCUUAUAUAUAUACGUAAACUGAACUUACAUUAACUACGUAAACUGAGUUUACAAUAACCUCUUAUAUACAUACGUAAACUCAUUUCACGUAAACUGAGUUUACACUAAUCUCUUAUAUACAUGUAAACUCAUUUGACGUAAACCUCUUAUAUACAUACGUAAACUGAGUUUACACUAACCUCUCACUAUGUAAAAUCAAAUUAACAGAGGCAUAUCUCAUACCAAAACAAACAAUAAACAAAUAGAAACUCUUGGAAAAUGAAAUUCACUAACCUUUAUGAAUAGAAUACAUAUCAAUGAAAAAUAUGUUGAUUCAAUCUUUGAUCUUGGUAGCACAUCUAUGAUGAUUUUUGGAUGAAAGGGGGUGAAGGUUCAGAAUGAUAAUGAAAGAAGGGUUUUUAAAAAUCUACAUGAAGAGGGCAAUUUUGAUAUUAUUGUAAAAUUUUAAAUAAAUUUAGAUGUAACUAGAAUUAUAUGAGAUGAGACUAGAAAGAGUCCAAUUAAAAAUAUCAAAAAGUAGCAUCAAUGAUUAACUAAUUUACAAAGAUAAAUUAUUUAAUCUGUCAAAAAAAAAAGAUAAAUUAUUUAAUAUCAAAUUGAAGUAAAAUAUUUCAAUACAAAAUAUAAUAAAUUACUUUAUUACAAUAAUAGAUUAAAAUAAUUUAAUACAAGAAUAGAAUAAAAUAUCAAGCAGACAUAUUUUUUUUUAAGGAAUAUCAAGUAGACAUAUAAAAAUCUUAAUAUAAUAAUUACUCCCUUCGGUCCUAUUUAUAAGAGAAAUUUAGGUCAACAAAAGUGAAUGUAUUUGGACUGAAUUUUUAACUAGAUACAUCACCUUUUAUUGAUCCAGAAUUCUUUUAUAAAUAGGAUCGGAGGGAGUAGUAUUUUACAAGGAAAUUAUUUUUUUUCUGAAAGAAGAAAAGGAAAAUAUCUAUAUUGGCAACGUCACCCGUACAUAGCAGGUUUUGCACUAGCUAAAAUUAGAUUUACAUAAUGACCUUUACAAAGGUCAUUUGCAUUUGUAUAUCGUUUAAGAUGUAUGCAACCAGCAUACCUAGCUAAUACUCUUUUUUUUAUUGGAUGAACGUUGGUUUAUUUGGAAAUGUAAAAAUGGUGAAGCUUUCUCCAACAUUAGUUACCCUCUUUAAUCCAUUCUUAGCUAAAUCUAUUCUCUAUAUAAUUCCACCAAGAAUGCUUUUGCUGGUCAUGCUCUAAUUAACCCUAUUCCUUAGGUUGGAAGUUAAUAUUGAUGGUAGCUCAAUUGGUAACUUUGGUAAAUUAGGCUCUCAAGGCCUAAUCAUUAAUAUUUGUGGUCAUACCACUAAUAUUAAUGUUGAGUUUCAUACUAUUUUCUAUGGAUUACUGAUCACUUGGAACUAUUGUUUAAAGACAUCAUUUGUAAAUCAAAUUCUCCAUCGAUGUUGACCAUUAUCAAAGACGGAGUCGUACGUACUCAUCCUUAUGCUCCUCUUAUUGAUAUCCUAUAUUCUUUCAUUUUGAGAAAUAGAAAUGUUGUGUUGAAUCAAGGGCAGUUUCACCGCCCGGCGACCCCGGACGGUCGUCCGGGCUCGAUCGAUAAUUUUCGCAUACUAGAUCCAACCCAAAAGUCCAUUAACACACAAAAAGAAAAAUUUGGACAAUAUGAAAAUUCUCACUCGCAAAUAGGUCUAGGAAUUUUAUUUUGCACACUAUUGACGGGUUCAUCUCUCUUAUUUUAACGGAUUAAUUGUUCAAAUUGACCUUGUAAUAUAGAUUAUGUCUGAAAAAUGAUCCUGGAAAAUACAAAACAUAUAUUCUAGCAUUGUAACUUGAAUUUCUUCUUAUUUUUGACCACCUUAUAAUAUACGUGUAGUUUAAAAAUGUGACCUACAUGUUGAAUUUUUUCACUAAUUUUUUCAUACAUGUUUAUCACGUUAAAAUAUAGCUUUAUACAUGUUAUGAAACUUUACAUAUCCUUUUUAUGUAUUUUUAUAAAUAUCUCUGCAAAUAAUGAGUUCAAAAUUCGAUUUAUAAGUCGAGAUUUCUGUUGUUUUGUUUUUUGAGCUUUUGACACUUUAAAAAUUCAUAAUUAAUUUGUGGUUUGUGGAAAAUUUAUAAUUUUUUGUGUAAAGCCAUAUUUUAACGUUCUUAACUCGCCUCUAAAAAAACAUGAAAAAAUUCAAUCUCUCGUUGCUUUUUUGGACUUCGCGUAUAUUACAGAGUUAUAAAUAAUAAAAAACUCGAAUUACAUAGCCAGAAUACAUGUUAUUUAAUUACAGGGUAAAUUUUCAGACUUCACGUAUAUUACAUGGUCAAUUUCAAUUAAUAACCCUAUUUUAAAUUGUAUUUUUGUUGAUAAAAUGAUAAACCUUUUUUAUUUCAACUUAUGAUUGUUUAUAUAUUAUGUCAUAAGUGAAUUUGUGAUAAAUUUUUGUUCGGACUCCAUAAAUUUUCCGGCUUCGGCACUGUGUUGAAUAAUGAAUCAUGCUCUGUACUAUGGAAACUCGUGUGCAUACUCUUUCAUUUUAGGAGAUGUCGCUGAUGGUACAUCAUAGGUGACGACAAAAUGGGAUGUUAAUUAUUUUUUUUUAGGGAAAAAUGGGAUGUUAAUGUAUCACAUUGAUAUAAUGAUGGUUCUAAUUUUCUUAAAAAACUAUAAAAUUACAGAGACACAAAUGUCUAACUUAUAUGAAAUUUUGUGUGUUUGAGAAUUAAUGUAAUAGGAGCAUAUUUAAUGGUUGAAUUGGUAGAAGGUUUAUAGUCAAGAUGAGUUCUUAAAUAGAAUAGUUCUAUCUUGAGUCGAUUGCUUUAUUUUUUUUUUUUUUGGAUAAAAAAUAAAAUUCUUUAUUUAUAUCAAUAUUGUUGACUCUAGAUUAAUCAUGCGAGUAUAAUUCAUUUGAUAAAGACGUUAUAUUAUCUAUGAACCAUAGUUUAAAUCUAAAAUCGUCUAUUCUAAAAACUAUACUAUUUGAAAGAAAAAAAAAAGAAGAGAGUGUGCUUCCAAUGAAAAUGUCCAACCCUUUUCCUUUUUUGUUUGGGGAAAGAAAAAGCCGAACUUGCUGGAAACGCGUCCUAAUAAUUUAAUCAUAAAAAAAUAAGAUCUUAUCUUGAGAGUAGGCCAACCACGUGCAUUUAAAAAAAAAAGAGUGAAACAUGAUUUAAUUUGUAUGAUAUGUAUUAAUUUAUUAAGGGUAUCCAUUUUUUCUUUUUUAGGGUAUACAUACAUAUAUCAAGUUAUCACGUAUUGCCACUUUGUUAUAUAAUUUUUUUUACACUCCCUCCAUUGCUUAGUAUAAGACCCUUUGAUAAAAUUUUACAUAUAUUAAAAAAAGCUGGAAUUGUAGUUAAUGCAUAUCAAAGCAGGCAUGGAGGAUUUCUCCACCUCAAGUUCAAGUUCAUGUUCGAUAAGGUUUCUAAAUACCCCGAAUACGGGUUUAUAACAUCUAGUUUUCUAUUUUUACGGCUCUAUAUAUGAUGGCUACGUGCAGUCAGUUUAGUUAUAUUGCAUCAUCUCUUCAGUCAGAUACCAAUCGAUAACACAUUGAAGGAGUAUUGGUAUACCCCUAAAACUAAUUAUAGUUAAUUUAAAUAAAAAGAUGUGGGAUUUUGAGGUUACUCAGGUUUCCCCUUAGUCGAUUGAAAGUUAGACGGCUUACACGAGUAACUGCGUGACACGAUUAUUGUGUCAAAUUAAAAUCUCAUGUAUAAGAAGACAUCAAUUUCUUCCAAUUACGCAAUCAAGACAUUAGUCAUUGUCUGAUAUCGAUCUCAUGCUUCAAAAAUUAGAAAUGCACAAGCCUCGGCUCGAUUUUGUAACCUAUUUAUGCCCAAACGCAAUGUGCGUGUUUGAUCAAGUGAAAAAUGAAAACAAUUAAAAGAGGAAACGACUUCGGAUAACCUCACGAGUUACAUGUCCCAUCCCUGUUUAGUUAGAGGACAACACUACACUCUUUUUUUUGUACCCUUUAUAUUCUAACCCUCACAGAGUCAUACUUUCUAUUUCUCUAAGUUGAAAGAAAAACGUUCACGAGUAUUGAAUAUCAGAGAAAGGGGAAUUGAGAUGUAAUUCUCAUUUUAUUGUUGUGUAAAAAUCUGAUUUACAUAGAGAGCUGCUAUUGAUUUAUAUACAAAGUUAUAAAACUAUUGAAGUACUAUAACUGAUGUAAAACUAAUAACUAGGGAAGAACUAACAGACUUCUCUACUAUAAUAAUGAGAUAAAUUAGCAUCUUUAUUAGAUAAUAUCCCCCCACAAGCAGGACCAUGUAUGUCACAAUGGCCAAGCUUGGAGAUUAAGGAGCCAAAAGCGGGCUACAUCAGCGGUUUGGUCAGCACAUCAGCAAGUUGAGCAGAAGAAGGAAUAGGAAGGAGAUGAAUAAGCCCACUUUGGAUUUUCUCACGGACCACGUGACAAUCAAUCUCAAUGUGUUUGGUUCUCUCAUGAAAGGUGGGGUUGUGAGCGAGAUAAAUAGCAGAUUUAGUGUCACAGUAAACGGAGUCAGGUUGUGAAAAAGUAACAUGUAGAUCAUGAAACAAAUAUUGCAGCCACCGCAAUUCAUAAGAAAGGCUAGCAAGAGCGUGAUAUUCGGCUUCAGAACUUGACCGGGAAAUCGUAGAUUGCUUCUUGGACUUCCAAGAGAUGAGAUACAGUAUCCAGAAACAGAGCGACGGGUAGCAGGGCAAGAUGCCCAAUCCGAGUCAGCAAACCCAGACAACUUCAAAGGAGAAUUGGCAGAGAAGAAAAGUCCCUUUGCUGGGCAACUCUUCAAAUUUUUCAAGACACGAGUAGCAGCCUAGAAAUGAAUUUCUUGGGGGCGAGAAACAAAUUGACUAAGUUGCUGGACAACAAAUGCAAUAUCUAGGCGAGUUGUAGUGAGAUACAAAAGGCGACCAAUUAAGUGUCUGAAAGCAGAUUCAUCAUGAUACAAGGAAGAAUCUGAAUCAUGUAGUUUCAAGGGAGAGUCAUAGGGAGUAGAAUAAGGCUUCACAACAAGAUGGCCGAUGUCAGAGAGAAAAUCCAAAGUAUACUUGCGUUGAUUGAGCAAGAUACCACUCGGAGAUCGAGCUAUCUCAAGACCAAGAAAGAAGUGAAGUUUGCCAAGAUCUUUAAUACUGAACUGUUGAUCCAAGAAAGAUUUUACAUGUUGUAUUUCAGUGAGAUCAUCACCUGCGAGGACGAUAUCAUCCACAUAAACUAGAAGUGUUGUUAUUUUUGUACCAGAAGUCUUUGUAAAUAAAGAGUAGUCAGCAGAGUAAUGUUGGUAACCAAUGGAAACAAGAGUGGCUGAAAGUUUGGCAUACCACCGUCGGCUUGCUUGUUUAAGGCCAUAAAGAGAUUUGUGAAGCUUACAUACUUUGGUUGUCUCUAGGGAAGAGUUGGCAACCAUAAGGCCAGGCGGGAGUUUCAUGUAUACCUUUUCAUGAAGGUCUCCGUGAAGAAAAGCAUUAUUGACGUCAAGUUGCUCAAGAAACCAACCUUUGAUAGAAGCCAAGCUGAGAAGAGCUCUAAUAGUGGUCAAUUUUGCCACAGGAGAGAAAGUAUCGAAAUAGUCCACACCUUCCAUUUGAGUGUAACCCUUGGCGACAAGACGAGCUUUAUGACGCUCAAUGGUCCCAUCAACAUUGAAUUUUACCUUAUAAACCCACUUGCACCCAAUUGGAAUUUUGCCCAGUGGGAGGUCCACAAUUGACCAAGUUUCAAUGGCAGCAAGAGCUGUUAAUUCAGAUUUCAUAGCUUCUAUCCAACAUUCAGAUUUACAAGCUUGGGUGUAUGUUUAUGGCUCAGUGGUGGAAGAUAUAGUAAGACAAUAGUUUUUAUAAGGGAUAUCACAUUUAUCAUAAGAUAAAAAGGAAGAAAUGGAGUAAGCAGAAUUACCUGAUUGGUGCAGAGAAAAGGUUAGAAGACUGCAGUGAUAAUCUUCAAGAUAAGUUGGUUUACUUUUAGGUCUUGUAGAACGUAUCUGUAGCAUCGGUGAUAGGAGGAGGAGGUGCAGGAGGAGGAGUAGAAGUUAGAGGGGUAGGCUCAGAUGAAGCAGAAGCAGUAGAAGAUGGUGUAGGCAAAUUAUUAACCUGAUUUGGUUGAUGAACAAUGGAAUCAUACUCGGCAAUAGGGGUGAGAUCAUUGGAAUCAAAGGAAGUUUGGUGACUAGAUGAAGUAGAAGAAGAUGUGAGAGGGGAAGAAAAAGGAAACUGACUUUCAUAGAAAAUAACAUUUCUUGACAAGAAAAAGGCACUGGAAUGGAUAUCAUAGAGAAGAUAUCCUUUGGUUCCUUUUCUAUAUCCAAGAAAGACAGAUUUUCUAGCACGAGGAUAGAAUUUAGUACGGUUUUGUUGGAUAGUGGAAGCAAAAGCUAAGCAACCAAAGACCCGUAGGUGAAGAGUAGCUGGCUGUUUAUGGAGUAAUUCAUAUGGGCUUUUAUUGUGCAAGAUAGGAGAAGGAAUGCGAUUUAUAAUAUGCACUGCAUGCUGCACAGAAAAAGGCCAAAAAGAAAUAGGAAUUUUUGAUUGAAAGGAAAGGGCUCGGGCAACAUUAAGGAUGUGUUGAUGUUUCCGCUCAACAAUGCCAUUUUGUUGAGGGGUUUCAACACAAGAUCAAUGAUGAAUAAUACCUUUAGCUUGAUAAAAGUCAGACAUCAAGAAUUCAGACCCAUUAUCACUUCUUAAACACUUGAGUUUACAGUUGAAUUGAGUUUCAAUGAAAGAAAUAAAAUUGGUGAGAUGUUGUCUAGCCUCACUUUUGGUUUUAAUGAGAAUGAUUCAUGUAAAAUGACUAAAAUCAUCAACUAGUGUAAGGAAAUAUUUAUGGCCAGAAAUGGAUGGAGUGGCAUAUGGCCCCCAAAUAUCAGCAUGUAAUAGAUCAAAAAUAUUAGAAGUGCGAGUGAGACUAUGGGGAAAAGAUAACUUUCUUUGUUUUGCAUAAUGACAUAUAUCACAAGGAGAUCGAGAUUCUUUAAAAUUCACAAAGGGAAAUUGUGAUGAAAUACAUUUAUGUAUUGAAUCCGAUAUAUGUCCUAGUCUAGUGUGCCAAAUGGAAGAGGUUUGUGCGGUGUCACCGAGUGCUUGAGAGACAGAGUUACAAGAAAGACCAGAACUAGAACCAUAAUCUUGAAGUUGAAUUGAUAUAGGUUUCAACACAAACAGUGCUCCAAAUUUCUUAGCUGCACCAAUCAGUGUCCAGGUUGAAAUAUGCAAAAUGAAACAACCAUUAAUGGUGAAGAAGACAUCAUAAAUUGUGGUGUCUAAAAGCUGGGUGACAGAGAUAAAAUUAACAUGGAAAUUAGGGAUGUAAUAGACAUCAUGUAGAAUAAGGGAUUGAGAAAGUUGCACGGUGCCUGAAAUUGUGGCAAUGGUUUUAUGGCCAUUAGGUAAGACAUAAACACAUGAGAAAUUGUGUGAUAAGAGACAAAAUUAUGUAAGGAAUGUGUGAUAUGGUCAAUGGCACCAGAAUCUACAACCCAGUGGUCAGAGAUCUUACCAAAAGUGGGAGAAGAGGAUGAACUUAAAGCUGCAGGAUUAGAUAUAACAGAGUUGACAAAAGGUUGAUUGGGACUAGGAUUCGAGGGUCUUGAUGAAGCUUGUAAUGUUGAAUGCUGUAGAAGCUGUAAAAUAUGAUUAUACCGCUCUUGAAUGGUGUUGAUAGUAGCUGGAGUGCGAUUGGUGUGGCUUUCUCUUUGUGGGCCAUUAGAAGCAGUAGCAGCAACAUUUAUUGACUUAGAGUUUUUCUGUUGAUAACCAGGUGGAUAGACAUGUAAGGCAAACCAUGUGUCAAUAGUAUGAUUGCGUCUACCACAAUUAGUGCAGGUUCGAUUAUUAGAACCACGACCUCCAUAAUGACUUCCACGACCUCUGCCGCGACCACCAUGGUGAGCAGAAGCGAAACUCGAAUAAUUAUUGCCAGAAUUAGAAGUAGUUUGCUGAACCUGCAUAAUAGAAGACUGGUGAUCGACAGAAUUAUCAGUAACUGUAGAAAUUAACAUCUGUCGUUCUUGUUGAAGAACCAAGGAGAAGCAUCGAUCAAUAUCAGGUAAAGGAUUGAGAAGCAUGAUUUGAGACCGAACACUUGCAUAUUGUUCAUUCAAGCCUUUCAAGAAUUGGAUGACUUUGUCUUGUUCUUUGUGUCUCUUCAAAUCAGAUGCAGCACCACAGGUGGAGGGAAUAGCACUUGAACAAUCUUUGAGUGGUCGAAAUUCUCCAAUUCUUCCCAAAGUGUUGUCAAAUGAGAGAAAUAAGAAGAUAUGUCUAAGCUACCUUGCUGAUAGCGAGCAAUUUAUUCGAGAAGGUCAGCGAUUCUAAAGAUAUCGUCGUGUGUGAACCGCCGCUCCAAACACUUCCAGACCACCGCGACACGAUCGCACCACAUGAUUGACUUGGAGAUGGUUUCUGAAAUAGAGCGUUGGAUCCAGGAAAGUACCAUAUUGUUGCAACGGAUCCACGGAUCAUAAAGAGGAUCAGACACGGCUGGAAGAUUAAGAGUACCAUCAACAAAUUUCAACUUGUUCUUGGAGAUUAAUGCUACCUCCAUUGAGCGAGACCAUGACUGAUAGUUUUUGUGAUCAAGAAGAGGGGUAACAAGUAUAAUAGAUGGAUUCUCGUUAGGAUGAAGGUAAUAGGGAUUGGUAGGGUUUGUGGCAAAAUCAGCGAAAGGUUGAGUCUCCAUUGAUGAACAUCGAAGAAACACAAUCGCCAGAAGAAAAGCGGAAGUGAGCUAAUCUGAUACCAUAUUGAAUAUCAGAGAAAGAGGGAAUUGAGAUGUAAUUCUCAUUUUAUUGUUGUGUAAAAAUCUGAUUUACAUAGAGAGCUAUUAUUGAUUUAUAUACAAAGUUAUAAAACUAUUGAAGUACUGUAACUGAUGUAAAACUAAUAACUAGGGAAGAACUAACCGACCUCUCUACUAUAAAUGAGAUAAAUUAGCAUCUUUAUUAGGUAAUAACGAGUUUACACGCCUAGGGUUCACUUCACUACACUUAUUGAUUCCAAAUGUUCUUGUUACUGCUAUUAGUCACAAAUGCACAAUGUUGCAUUCUAGAGGGUACAAAAAAUAACCUGUACAUUGUAUACCUUUGCAAAAAAUAAUACAAUUUUUUUUUCUUUUGACUGUAUAAUUUAAAUAAUACUGAUCUUAAACCUAAAAUGUUUGAUCUUGAUAGGAUGAUUAUUGUGACCACGUCGAUUUACUUGGUGCAGGAAACCCAACCCCCUCUUUUUGCACUAGUACCGUCUCAAAAUCGAUACAAAUUAAGGAAUCUUUGGUCAAUAUAUAAAUCCUAUUAUGUUACCUUAAUUACUAUUGUGUAUUCAAAUUCAAGUAGGAAAAUAAUACAUAUUGUUUUGUUCUAAGGAGGAUAUUCAUAAUAAUUAAGAUACAAUUAUUAGGUGGCAUAUAUAUGAAAAAUAACAAUUAUAGCACGAGCUAUAUUGAUAGAUUAAAAUAACGACCACGGGGUAUGUGUAGCCUAGGUAAUGCUACUAUAAUCAAGAAACAUCUCAACUCAGUGCUUAUAAAUUCAUACAAUCUUUAAUUUCAUUUGUAGAUACAAAUAGUCCUAAAGACCAAGUCUCUGAGCAAAAGCUAGCUUAGCAACAAUACAAUGAGUUUGUUAAAAGUAGUUUUUGUUUGGUGCAUAUGGUUAGGGUUAUUUGAGUUAUCAUUAGCAAAAGUGAGACACUACAAGUUUGAUGUGGAAUACAUAUAUAAAACGCCAGAUUGCUUAGAGCAUGUUGUGAUGGGAAUCAAUGGCCAAUUUCCAGGCCCAACUAUUAAAGCUGAAGUUGGUGACACCCUUGACAUUGCACUCACCAACAAGCUUCAUACAGAGGGAACUGUUAUUCACUGGCAUGGAAUCAGACAGGUAAAUUUUCUUUCUCUUAUUCUAGAGGUUUUAAUCAUCACAAGCUAAGUAUAAUUAACAAUAAUGAUGCCUUUUAUUCGCAAAAUAUUAAGUAUUGCUCAUAAUAGUAACGGACGGUAUUAAACUGUACAUGAUUUUUUUUUUUUUUUUUGUGCUCGUCACUGCAUUUGAUUGUUGAUGGACAAGACAAAUAAUUUUGUAAUGCAUCUAAUUUAAUAUUUCUAUGCAUUUGAUAAAAUAUUAUAACUUUUAAUACAAUACUUGAAUGUAUAUCUUGUUUUAUCUUGCUUUAAUAUAUAUAUUUUGUAAUGCUGUCUGUUUUAUCCAAUCUAUGACCAAUUUCUAAUAAAGUAAAAGUAAUUUUUUUGUCAAUUCAUCGAGUUUUAAAAUAAAAUUAAAAACGCACCUUAUACAUAUUUUGUUGUUGUUUUGGGAAGAUUCAAUUUUUGUUGUUGUUUAUUAAUUAAAAUAAUAAUGUUUUGUAGAUUGGAACUCCUUGGGCUGAUGGAACUGCAGCAAUCUCUCAGUGUGCUAUAAAUCCAGGAGAAACUUUUCAUUACAGAUUCAUUGUUGACAGGGUAAUUAAUUAAUUAAAUAUUUGAUUAGUUUAAUCACAUAUUUAAGAUCAAGUGGCAUAUAUCUCCCAGGCCAGCAAUGGUUUUUCUUUUGUUGUUUUGUUUUUAAGUAUCUUUUAUUUUAUAAUAAUAUAAUAACUAGGGAUGGGUGUUUAAUCAUAUAUGGUGCAGCCUGGUACAUAUUUCUAUCAUGGACACUAUGGUAUGCAAAGAGCAGCAGGGUUGUAUGGUUCUCUAAUAGUGGAUUUACCAAAGAACCAAAGAGAGCCAUUUCAUUAAGAUGGUGAGUUCAAACUGCUCCUUAGUGAUCUGUGGCACACAAGUUCACAUGAACAAGAGGUUGGCCUCUCUUCUGCCCCAAUGAGAUGGAUUGGUGAACCACAGGUAUAUUUUCAACUUUUUCUUUUAUACAAAAAUAUCAUGUUCAUUCAAUUUACAUUUUCUUUAUUUAUGUUAUCAUAUCAUAGCUAUAUAUUUAUCAAUAUAAUAAUAGAAUAAAAAUUUAAUUCAUAUACAUUGUUAAUGUAAAAAAGUUUACAUUAUCAAUCAAUCACAACUGUUAAAUCAUUAAAAAUGUUUGACAUUUGUGUUUUACUCUAUCAUAACUACUUUUAACAUUGGUUAUUAUGAUGUUUAAAUUUAAAUCGAUCCUAAUUAAAACUAAAAAAAAUCAAAGAUUAUUGCAUGUCUUUAGAAUACCUUAUAGCCAAAUAGCAAAUCCAAUCUCUGUUUGGGGGUUUUUGAGGGGAGGACUUGUAAAAAAAGGAAGCAAGAAUUAGAAAGAAUGUAGAGCUUGGGGAGGGGAGGGGAGGGUUUUGAGGGGUUUAGUUUUUCAUAAUUCAAAAUCCUCCUAAUUUGGAGGAACUAAAAAAUUUGUAUUGGAGGAGUUUGGGGGGUUUGUGUAAAUUAUUAAAUCCAAUCUAUCUUGUUAUAUUACUUUAAAAAAAAAAUUAAUCGUAAGUAUUAAUUUAUCAUUUUAUACAAAAACACUCAAAAUUUUGAAAAAUUUCUCUUAUUUUUUUUCUUUCUCUAAUCUCAUCCCUACAAAGUUCUCCUCUAACUCUCAAACAUAACCUUAUGUUUUUAUUGAUCAUGCAUGUAUUAUUUAUUAUCCUAAACUUUUUAUAACUAAUUAACAUAUGGGAAAUGUUAACAGGAGCACUCUUUAAGCAUUUAAAGUGGUAAAAUUUUAUAAAAGUUUAUGCAUUUAUUUUAUUGGAAAUUAAAAUUUUUACUUUUUUAAAGAAUAAUUUCUAUGAUUCUAUUACUUCUCCCUAUAAAAUAAUGUUUUUGGUACUUUUUUAGGGGGUUCAAGAUUAUGUCACAUGGAUAGCUAUGACCUAUUUAAAAUACUAUAUAUUGAGUAUAUGGUCUCAAUAGACAGGGAAUAAAAAUGAAUGAAAAAGUUAUUUUAAUUUUUUUAAUUAGUUUUGUCAUUUUCUCUUUUAGAUCUUAGAACCCUAGUUUCCUUAGUGAAAUAUUUUAGAUGGUAUCAAUUGGUGCUUCAUCCUAAUCACAAAACCCUCCUAUGACUGAUUUUCCUUCCACAUAUCCAUAUUACUCGAUGCUCACAAUGCAACCACCAGUAUUAUAGCUCCAUUCCCCAACCCACACACACCUUAUUCAACUUAAUCUCCUCCAUGUGCAUACUCCACCUUUCACCCAUAUUAUUCAACCUUUAACACCAAUUUUCAGCUCCAUCAUCCUCAAACCCAUACCCUUCAUAUUUACCUUCCUCCAACCAAUACAUUUAUGGAUACCCAAACACCAUUUAAGCUCUACCAUCACCCAACCUAUAUACCUUUCCAAUUCAACUUCUUCCAACCCAUACAAUCAUGGCUACAGUCUACACACCACUUGCACCCACUCCAUAUUCAUUGUUAAUAAGUUAUUUUGGUCCAUAUGCAUGGUUUUCAAUAACAGUCUCAUCCGGAUUAUUCAAGCCACUCUCAUAUUAGCAAUUUUUCAGUUUUCUAAUAGUGUUUCUGGCUUUGAGGCUAUUGUUUUUUUUUUUUUUUUUUAAAAAAGACUUCGAGGCUAUUGCUUACUGUUAUAAUACUCAUAAGAUUAAAUAUAUUAAUCAUAACUCAUAAGUAUGCAAUUAACAUUGUACCAAAAAAAAAGUAUACAAUUAACAUUAUCUACAAAAAAAAAUAGUCUCAAAUUUUUAUAAGAUUUCUAUAUAUUUUUCUCUAUAGUCAUAUCCUCUAAAAAUCUCUAUUUCCUUCCCCACUAAACUUUCAAAUAGAGUCUUAAAGUGAGUUCUCACCACCGCUGGCCACUUGUAAGUUGUAAUAUUUUCUUUUUCAACAACACAUAUUUCAAAGAAGAAAUUUAAAUUUGAAUUUUAUAUUAUUAUAAUAAUGUAUAUUUUUAUUGAUAAUAUUUUAUAUUUUUAUAUUAUUAAUCUGAACUGGUGCUGCUGGAUUUAUCUUCCUUUUUUAUCCUUUAACUUCUAAUAAAGGAAAACAUAUUUUUCAAAAAUAAAUAAAAUAAGGGAAGCAUCGUAUUACAGUAUGUAUUUUAAAUUUCUACAGAAAAACAAAACAGUAAGUAUUUUAAAUAAGAGUAAUGCAAUAAGGGUAAUUUAAUCAUGGAUGGUACCUAAACAAAUAUGGAAUAGUAUUUUAUUAUUAUUAUUAUUAUUAUUAUUUUCGUAAAUGCAUAGCACCGCACCAUAAGCAACAUUAUCUUUUUCUUAUUAGUAAUUGCAUGCCAUAUGAAUGACAUUUUUUUUUACUAACACACCAUACAUUAUGAUGACAUUUUUAGAGCUUGCUUAUCAAUGGAAGAGGACAGUUCAAUUGUUCCCUAGCAGCUAAUUUCGUGAACACUACCCUGCCUCAAUGCAAUUUCAAAGGUGGUGAAGAAUGCGCACCCAAGAUUCUCCAAGUAGCGCCAAAAAAGACCUAUAGAAUAAGGAUUGCUAGUACAACGUCCUU
rnacentral:lncRNA from 1 species